GGCCCUCUAGCUCAGAUGGUUAGAGCAGUCGACUCAUAAUCGAUUGGUCGGUGGGUUCGAGUCCCCUGAGGGUCACCA
rnacentral:tRNA from 2 species